AGAUUUGGUGACAUGUCUCGCACAAGACUGUUACCACGGUUCAGAAGUUCCCCAACUUACUGAACCUUCGAAAAACCACCUCCCCAGGUGGUUUUUCGUUUU
rnacentral:antisense_RNA from 1 species